GCGAGCCACACCCACAAAGGGUGGUGCUGGGCUUGGGGCCAUGAUGGAGUCUGCCAUGUGGUCUUUUGUUCUCAGACUGGGUACUAUCAGCUUGGCUUUUUUCGAUUUUACUGUCAAAAUUCACCGAUUUCGAACGCCAAAGCAAGGUUUUGAGAGGAGAUAUAGAGGACUUUGCUCUGCACUGAGAUAAUGAAUUGUGAGACUUUCUGGGAUGUGUGAAAGAAAGAAAGGCCAUGACCCUGCCCUCCUUCCGCACUGUGAAAAGAACACCGCAGCACUGUGGAGGUUAAAGCACCCUGAAAUCCAACUGUAGUAGCAGUAUUCUGUUUUUCCUUGCUUUUCUGCCCCCUCCUCCCUGUCUGUGUCUGGGAAAUAAGAAUUGAGUAACCUUUACCUUGGCUGAGUAGAUGAGCUCAUGGUUUUUCAGUGUUUAUGUGCUGGUUGUCUCUAUCCUCCAACAGGUUCCAAGAGAUUUCAGAGGGUACUGGCCUGAGCAGACACAAGCAAACUGUCACUUCUGAGGUUAACAAAAUGUUAAUUAUUGCAUUAAAACCACACUGAGUUUAGAAUAUCAGAUGGACUAGGCUGUUUUAUUAGCCCACUUCCAGUGCUAUAUUAAUGGGGUGUCUCUAAGGGCUGUGUGUCUCAAAGGCCCUGAAUCCUGUGGUGCUUGGUACACCAAAGCCCCGUAAUGUUGUCCUCUGAAGAGAUUUUUCAGGUGCCAUGUUAAAUACCACAGGUGCCUCUGCUUGUCAAGUACAUUUCUGUAGGGAGAAGAAGUGCUUUUAGAUUUAGAGAGGACAAACAAAUAACAAAACUGUGAGCAGAAUUUUCUGAUUAACCCUCUAAAGAAAAUGCAUGGGGAACAUAAAACAUGCUUGUAGUGGAAAAAAAUUCCUGUUGAGUUUGUGGAUGAUACACAGUAAUCUAAUCCAGAGCUUUCUGUAGCCCCUGAAGUUUCCUGAGAUGCAUAGCAUAGUUGGUGUGUUGCGUUUAAUUAAGAAUAAACUCAGCUGAGAGGGCUUUUUUAUUGUUUUAUCUACUUUUAAUGUGUUUAACCGAGUCACAUGGAUUUUUGGCUGGAUAAGCUUGUGAUGAUUUGAUUUCUAGUUUUGUAGCAAGACUGGGACUUGAAAUUUAUUUUUCAGUGAGUAAUUAACUGGCUAACUAUUUGAUGAGAAAAGAUCCGCACAAGAUAAAAUCACCAGCAUUUUUACCAAAUUUCUGCACACUGUGACGACCUUAUCCAUUUCUAAACUCCUACCGUAGUCACCAUUAGGGUCAGUUCAUGGAUGUGCAGGAAAUGCAGAGCUUGAUUCUGCUUGACUCAGAAAUGUUGCUCCAUGAUUUAUUCUCCAGAUAGAUUUCCACCAGUGACAACAAGAAUUAUAAAUAUCAUUCCCUAAAAUGAAUUUUUUUAAACAUAGCAGGUAGAGACAACUUGUACUGCAGAGUUUUCAAAGGAAUUAUAUAAAGCAUUUUCCCGACCAGUUGUCUACUUCUGAAUAAAUUUUGGAAAAAUUGGGAAGGUAUAACUGCCCAAAAGAAAGUUAUGCAAAAGCUAUUAUUUUAAAAGAAGAUCACCCAAGCAUAUGUAGAUAUAUACCAACAGUGGGGAAUAAGGGAAAAACUUAGAUCUUAUUAAUAAAAAACCUUUGAUUAUUACCUUUUGCAUUUCAAAUUUCCAAAUAUCACCCUGAUUAAUUUUUAACAAGAUUCACUUACAUUUAUUUGGCACUUCUGAUAGAAAGUCCCUUUGCAGAUGUCUUAUUUUAGUUCCAUUUGAGUGACUUAUUGGAAUUUUUUUCCAUGAUUGCAGACAGUCAUAAAGAAGUUAGGCAAUAAGAGAGGCUUUGUCUGGUAGAAAGAAAUUUUAAAUAUGAGAUGGGUAUAAUGAACUUUUAAACUCAAGUUUGAUUUUACUGCUGAGGGUGAAACUCCUGUCACAGGGGUUAUAAUACAGGGAAAAAGUUGUUAGGAUCUCAAAAGGGCAGCACAAAAAUUCAAAGAAAAUACUUGUGAUGUGUUGGACACCAAGAGGGUCUCUGUGGCUGACAAAACCCUUAAGCCACACCAUCUGAUAGCUUGGAAAAUAUCCCCAUUUGGACGCUCUGCUGCUGGUCCCUGUUGGAAACUUUUCAUCCCUGUUGGAAAGCUUUCAUCCCACCUCACUGUUUUACAUUCUCGAGUCAUUCAGGUCACUGGGAGCUGUAACACUGCCUAAAUGUGAUUAUCCAGCUCACCUGUUUUGCACUUCAUCCAAAAUACUGAGAAUCCAUGACAAAAUCCCACUGCUUCUUUAGCCUAAGAGGAGUUCUUGGAGCUCUGGGCUCUGCAUCGUUAGUUUGUAUUGUCUCAUGACAUUCAAAACCUGCUUUGAAAAGUUGGUUUCUGUAUGGUUGGGUUUUCUAACUGUGUCUUCUCACCUUCAGAUAAACUUUUGGGAGAACAAGAGUUAACCCACUCAGAGAUGUCUGUGCAAAUCAGGUGUUAGGAAUAUAAGUAGUAAUUCGUGGAGAUAAAUAGUGUAUAAAAAUAUAUAUGUGAACAGAGUAAACUGGGGAGAGAAAAAGGGGGGGGGAAAUCCCUUCGUUCCCUUUAGGUUGAGAAAUCCAACAGGAUGACGAGAUCACAAGACCUCGAAACCGCAGCAGAUGGACAUCUCAGUAUUUGCAUCCAAAGGGAACUCCAGCUGCACCAGAGAUGAGCAUUCAUCAGCACCUACGCCCAAAGACACCAGGUGCUGAUGGCCCAGACAAGAUGCCUAUCUGUGGGGAUCAGAACCAUCAACACAUGGAAUCUGAAUGCCAGAUUCCGGGAACCAGGGAAAUGGACCAUUCUACCCCCGGACGAGGCUUUGUCCAGAGAAAGAAACCACCUUGAAUAUGAAGAACUCAGAAGGAAACAAAGACUUUCUGCCGCAGGCCAAAUAAACUGUAUAAAAACUGCUACCUUGCAAGCAGUAGGUGUGGAUGGGGAGGUCUAGGUACCAGUUGGUCCUUUCCUCACGUUCACCCGUAUCACUUCCCGGGGGUGAUACGCUGGCCGUUUCGGUGGUGGCUGUCGAGACUGUUUUUAUGGUCGCGAAAUAAAUUUUAUUUUUCAUAUUUUUAUUAAAA